rnacentral:tRNA from 1 species
UAAACCCUUCCUCUACU